AGCAGCUAUCCAUCCAUUCAUGUCCAUCGGACUCGGAGACUGCAAAGCGGGGAUCGGAGUGGCAGCGUGCGAUCUCCCCUGGGAGCUGCUGGACUGCUUUGCUGCACGCUGGUCUCAUGAUUAGCCCGCUCGCGCAAGUCGGCACACGGUAAAAAGAAGACAAGGACACGCCAUCUCUCUCGGCGUCGCAUCGCAUGAAACAAAAGCCAAGCCAAGCCAGGAGCCCAGCACACGCGCAGUGCGCAGGCGAGGCACCUACGUCGCCAUCUCGUCCACACGGCCUCCCGCCGACACCGCCAAAUUAAGCUCUGGCUGUCCUGUAAUUCUUCGGAGUUCAGAGUCCAGGGCUCCGGGAGGCUCCUCGUCGUGUCCCCUGGGCAUUGCUGCGUCUCUGUUGGUGCGGAGGUAUACGCCGGCAGCUCAGCAGCUCCGAUGCACGCGGCGCUGGAGAUGAGCCGCGGCAGGGCGCGGAGGCCGGCGCUGGCGCACACCGGGAAUGCGGCUCCUCCUCCAAGGAACGAUAAAGCGAUGGAGAAGGAUCGCAGGAGAACCAACUCGAGCUCGAGGGCGGCGGCAAUGAAGCCUCCGCCCACCAAUGCGGCUGCCCCCGCUAGCAUCAAGAACAGAACCCAAGCGCGGAGGGAUCGGAAAAUCGCACUGCAGCAAGACGUGGAGAAGCUGAGGAAGAAGCUGCGUCACGAGGAGAACGUCCACCGGGCUCUGGAGCGCGCGUUCACGAGGCCGCUCGGCGCGCUCCCUCGCCUUCCCCCUUACCUCCCUUCUCAGUUGCUAGAGCUUCUCGCCGAGGUGGCGGUAUUGGAGGAGGAGGUCGUCCGGCUCGAGGAGCAGAUCGUCGGCUUCCGGCAAGGCCUCUACCUGCAGGAGGCUAUCAUCGCCUCCUUGGCGAAGAGCGCGUACAUCUGCAACGGCGAAGGGUGUACACCGUUGUCGACACAGCUCAGUCCGUCGUUUUCCCAAAUGCAGAGUUCAGAACCAGAGAUUUCCCCGUCUGCACGUGACGGUUCCGAUCAAGAUGCUAUUUGCUGGUCAUCUCUGAAGCGAGUCACCGACGUCAAGCAGGCGCCGAGAAACCCGGCCCCUGGCCAUGGUGAUCGUCCUGGGAAGGAGAACCAAUCGUGCCCCACCAACUCGUGCAGAGAUUUCAGCCGGUCGCCGAUGAACAAUGUGCCAAGGAGAUGCAGUGUGCCGGCAGUGGAGAAAUGGCCGGGCGAAAAGGUAUCAGGAGAGACGUUGAAGACACCGAUGUCAUGGGUUCAGAUUAAGGCCAGCGGCAGCAACGCCCCUCUUGGCCUGGGAUUGAGGGCCGUGCUCCGAAAGCUCGCAGCAGUUGACCUAGUGGGGCUCGCUCUUCUCCCAUCAGCAGAGGAUGGCGUUCUGGAUCAUCACCUACGACUCCAGCAUCAUGAUUGAUCGGCGGUUUCCUUCCCUUGAAGGCGACCAUAAAACGUGGGUGGGCGCGCGCGUGCUGGGCGCCAUGACGAUCGAGAUCGAGCACUCCAUUUUGAGGCUGCAGCUACACGUGUGGGUCGACACGGCCGAUGAUGAACUGGAGGCAGCUUAAUAGGGACUACUUGUGGCUGUCAUUGCCUCGGCGCUAAGCAAGUUACGUUCGCGAUCCAGAAGUCUCUACAUUCGGUACAUGCUGGACUUUUCGCGGAGGAUGUGAAUUGUGAGCUCACUUCAUCAGGUCGUCGAGACCGGUCGCCGAAUUCCAAGUUUAGGUUCAGGUAGCUGUUUUGUCUGAUGGGCUGAUGAUAUAACAGCUAGUCACCAAUGUGUGUAUGGACGGAAAGAACGCUGCGGUGCACAUAUUUACAGUAAGAGAAGCCAGAACUGGCCAUUGACAGAACUGUGUGUUGGUCACAAAUUUAUAAUUCUCUUGGAGGGGAAGCAUUUUCCCCCUUAUUA